rnacentral:lncRNA from 1 species
CCAGUCACUCUGGACGCAGUCCCUUGGAAGCAAACUAUCCUUCUGUGGUCUCUGCAUGUGACAGAGAAGGAAGAUGGCCUCUAUGCUCUCAGCUAUAUUAGUAAAUUCCUCAGGAGUUUACAUCAACUGGGAGAAUCUGUAUCCUUAAAAUUAAAACAUUUAAAUCAUGAGUAUAAGAGUCCAAGCUUUGGAUCAAGAAAUCACCUCCAUCUUGGUUGGAGUUUGGGGUAUGGUGUGUAUUUGAAGAUUCAAACUCCACGUGGUCUUCAGGAGCUCAAACACUCUCACACAGAACAGAAAGGAAGUCUCCAAAACGAAUGUGAAAUUGACAAAUCACCGCACUGCUUCAGGACCCCAGCCCAUGGAAUGCUGUGAUCAACAUUCAGAGUCGAUCAUCCUACAUCAAUUACCCUAAUCUAGGAAAUCCCACAGAGCCAGGACCAAAGGGACCACUUUCCACUGGGUGUCCCAGUGCCUAUCACACUUUAGUAGGACUUGAGGACAAAUCGUGUCUUGUUCUUGGAAGAAGCAUCCUGGCUAAGUGGCUCUGUAUUUCUGUCAUUCAGCACAAUUCUUUAGAAGUCUGAUCUGAACAAGUAGCAAUAUCCUAACAGUUGAGAACAAUGAUAGAUGACCAGCAAUAGAAUCUUAGCUGCUGGAUAUUUCAUUUGUGUGGAUGCAGAAUGUAGCACAGAUUUACUAAGGAAAAGAAUUUCCUACGCC